CAGUGCCGCGGUAAUACGUAGGUGGCAAGCGUUGUCCGGAAUUAUUGGGCGUAAAGGGCUCGCAGGCGGUUUCUUAAGUCUGAUGUGAAAGCCCCCGGCUCAACCGGGGAGGGUCAUUGGAAACUGGGAAACUUGAGUGCAGAAGAGGAGAGUGGAAUUCCACGUGUAGCGGUGAAAUGCGUAGAGAUGUGGAGGAACACCAGUGGCGAAGGUGACUCUCUGGUCUGUAACUGACGCUGAGGAGCGAAAGCGUGGGGAGCGAACAGGAUUAGAUACCCGAGUAGUCCCUGUCUCUUAUACA
rnacentral:rRNA from 1 species